rnacentral:rRNA from 1 species
GAUGAACGCUAGCGAUAGGCUUAACACAUGCAAGUCGAGGGGCAGCGAGGGUAGCAAUACCUGUCGGCGACCGGCGCACGGGUGAGUAACGCGUAUGUAACCUGCCCGCAACAGGGGGAUAACCCGGCGAAAGUCGGACUAAUACCGCAUAAAACAGGGGUCCCGCAUGGGAAUAUUUGUUAAAGAUUUAUCGGUUGCGGAUGGGCAUGCGUACCAUUAGGUAGUUGGUGAGGUAACGGCUCACCAAGCCUUCGAUGGGUAGGGGUUCUGAGAGGAAGGUCACCGACAAUGGUACUGGGACAAGGACCAGAAGACUACGGAAAGCAGCAGUGAGGAAUAGUAGUCAAUGGUGGAGAGCAUGAAACAGCCAAGGCGCGUGAAGGAUGACUGCGCUAUGUGUUGUAAACUUCGUUUACAAGGGAAUAGAAUGAGAUACGGGUAUGUUAUUGCAUGUACCUUGAGAAUAAGCAACGGCUAACUCCGUG